rnacentral:lncRNA from 1 species
UAAUAUUUUCCAAAAGGUUUCAUGCCUGAUCACUACCAUGUUGCUAGCUCUUAACUGAUACAUCCCUACUAUGUCUGUUGGAUUAUUGCACUAUAUGGUGAUAGAAGUUUCAUUUCUCUGUCCGAAGGAUAUAGGUUUUUGUAGUACUUUGAUCUUUUAUAGACUCAUAUCUUCUUAUUCUUAGGCAAAAAAUCUAUGAGCCCAAAUUAGUUUAUACACAAAUGUUUUAUCUAUUUUUAAUAGAAUUUCUUAUACUCAUCAGCUAUGACGACAAUUCACUUAAUAGAGUUGGAAUUUCCAGUGCCCAAGUAACAAUGUCGAGAAAGAGAUAUUCAUCGUAUUUAUAAGUUGAAGAGGUUGGAAACGUGCUGCCUUAAUGAUGUGUGGUGAGUCAUUUGGCGUAGAGCUUUGUCUAGUAAAGUCUGUUGGCCGUAUUAAAAUAAUACUCAUUGUAAAGAAAAUGAUUCUAAGUAACAUCAGAAAUUUGAAGUGGUAAGGAAAAAAGUUGUAGGUAAGUGCAAAGGUUUCCUUUAGUUUUCAAGACAGUCACUAGUUUAUUAAGUUCCAAAUAAAUGAUUGAAGAGC